rnacentral:rRNA from 1 species
UACGUAGGCAGCAAGGCGUUGUUCGGAGUUACUGGGCGUAAAGGGUGUGUAGGCGGUCCUCUAAGUCUGGUGUGAAAUCUCCCGGCUCAACUGGGAGGGUGCGCCGAAAACUGGAAGGCUAGAGUGCGGGAUGGGAGAGUGGAAUUCUGGUGUAGCGGUGAAAUGCGUAGAUAUCGAGAGGAACACCUGCGGCGAAGGCGGGUUGCUGGGCUGAUACUGACGCUGAGGCGCGGAAAGCUAGGGAGCGAACGG